rnacentral:rRNA from 1 species
AGAGUUUGAUCAUGGCUCAGAACGUACGCUGGCGGCACGCCUAACACAUGCAAGUCGAACGAAGUAGCAAUACUUAGUGGCAGACGGGUGAGUAACAUGUGGGUAUCUACCCUUUGGCCUGGAAUAACACGAGGAAACUUGUGCUAAUACCGGAUAAGUCUUUACGGAGAAAGCUUUAUGCACCAUUGGAUGAGCCCGCACUUGAUUAGUUUGUUGGUAGGGUAAUGGCCUACCAAGACUAUGAUCAAUAGCUGAUUUGAGAGGAUGAUCAGCCACAUUGGGACUGAGACACGGCCCAAACUCCUACGGGAGGCAGCAGUGGGGAAUAUUGCACAAUGGGGGAAACCCUGAUGCAGCGAUGCCGCGUGAGUGAAGAAGGCCUUUGGGUUGUAAAGCUCUUUCGUCGGGGAAGAAAAUGACUGUACCCGAAUAAGAAGGUCCGGCUAACUUCGUGCCAGCAGCCGCGGUAAUACGAAGGGACCUAGCGUAGUUCGGAAUUACUGGGCUUAAAGAGUUCGUAGGUGGUUGAAAAAGUUGGUGGUGAAAUCCCAGAGCUUAACUCUGGAACUGCCAUCAAAACUUUUCAGCUAGAGUAUGAUAGAGGAAAGCAGAAUUUCUAGUGUAGAGGUGAAAUUCGUAGAUAUUAGAAAGAAUACCAAUUGCGAAGGCAGCUUUCUGGAUCAUUACUGACACUGAGGAACGAAAGCAUGGGUAGCGAAGAGGAUUAGAUACCCUCGUAGUCCAUGCCGUAAACGAUGUGUGUUAGACGUUGGAAAUUUAUUUUCAGUGUCGCAGGGAAACCGAUAAACACACCGCCUGGGGAGUACGACCGCAAGGUUAAAACUCAAAUGAAUUGACG